rnacentral:rRNA from 1 species
GACGAACGCUGGCGGCGUGCCUAAUACAUGCAAGUAGGACGCAGUUGCGAACGGGUGAGUAACGCGUAGGUAACUACCUCUUAGAGGGGGAUAACUAUUGGAAACGAUAGCUAAUAACGCAUACUCGUAGAUGGACCUGGGUUGUAUUGGCUAUUAGGUAGGGUACUGGCCUACCUAGGCAACGAUACAUAGACGACCUGAUGGGGUGAUCGGUCACACUUGGACUGGUACACGGCCCAGGCUCCUACGGGACGCAGUGGUAGGGAUGCGUCGGCAAUGGGGGGAACCCUGACCAAGCAACGCCGCGUGAGUGAGGAGGGUGUUCGGAUCGUAAGGCUCUGUGUUUAAGGAAGCGGUACUUAACCAGAAAGGAACGGCUAACUACGUGCCAGCAGCCGCGGUAAUUC